rnacentral:hammerhead_ribozyme from 1 species
AUCCAGCCGGCGAGUCCCAAAUAAGAUGAAAUGCGCAUCCUGGAU